UGGGGAAUAUUGCACAAUGGAGGGAACUCUGAUGCAGCGACGCCGCGUGAACGAAGAAGGCUUUCGAGUCGUAAAGUUCUUUUAUAUGGGAAGAUAAUGACGGUACCAUAAGAAAAAGCCCCGGCUAACUACGUGCCAGCAGCCGCGGUAAUACGUAGGGGGCUAGCGUUGUCCGGAAUCACUGGGCGUAAAGGGUUUGCAGGUGGAAAUGCAAGUCAGGUGUAAAAGGCAGUAGCUUAACUACUGUAAGCAUUUGAAACUGCAUAUCUUGAGAAGAGUAGAGGUAAGUGGAAUUUUUAGUGUAGCGGUGAAAUGCGUAGAUAUUAAAAAGAAUACCGGUGGCGAAGGCGACUUACUGGGCUCAUUCUGACGCUGAGGAACGAAAGCGUGGGUAGCAAACAGG
rnacentral:rRNA from 1 species